AUGCACACCGCACGGCAGGUGGACAGAGGGAGAGUAGAAAUGAGGACAGGAAGAAAAAAAAAACUUACUCCUCUGUCCUCCUCCGAGAGGAAAUCGGGACCAUCGUCCAGCCCUUCUUGCUGCGGAGAGACACACAGAGAGAUCAGAACGAACGAACGGAAUGUACAGACGACACAUGCUCGUUAUUACUCGACGCAUCGGAGGAUUAGAGGUGUAAAUAUUAAGGGUGGAGGGAGGGAGAGAGAAAAGCACCCACCAUCAUGGCUGCUGCGGGUGGAGUAUGAAUGUGGCGGAGUGUGUGACGUCACUGAGGCAGCAGAUCUGAGAGGUGGAGCCUUCAAGUGUUCAAGCAAAGAGGGCGACAAACUCACUUGCUGUUAGCGUGAUGCUGUUAUUACUCAAACACCCCACUAAUGAAUUAUUUCAAGCCAGGUGAGUCCAAAUACAUGUCAUUAUAAGAUUAAAGCCAGGGCAUAUUUACAUUUAUAAAAUCAAACUACCUCAAAUUAAUUGCAAGCUAUAGGUGCAUUUAAUUCCUUGCAAAUUUGUCAUUUAUACUUAUUUAUCUUAUUGUUUCUGACCAUAUACAUUAUGUAAUAGUUUUUAUUUUCAACCUGUUUUGCUGCUGCAUAGGCCUGCUGUACACUGGUGCUGCCUAAUAUCAGUUGUAUAGUGUAUACACUUUUUAUUCGGGAUGUUGAAACAACAAAACACCAGUUUAGGACAUGAACACAUAUUGAGAAACGAUAUACAGGCAUCACCAUCGCAGACAUCAUAACAUAUUGAGUAACUUUGUCCUCAGGUGAAAUCUUGUGACUCUGCAACAUGCAAUAACACACUGAUAUGCCCUCAGCAGGUCAUGUUGCACUGCAAUAGACACAACAAUUCCCCUGCAAAGCAACCAAUCAAACUGUUCAUUUCACCAAAAUUCCCAUGAAAUGUUUACUGAUGAAUUUAUUGUUACUGUUAGUGUACUGUUUGAGUAAAUCAUAACAUAGUUCCUAUAUGCCAAAAAUAUUUUUUUACUUAGAAUAUUGUAACUACAUUAUCAACAUCGCAACUCCUCUCUCCUCACAUUCCUUUCAUCCCAGGAAUAGUUCACCUAAAAAUUAAAAUUUUAACCUCAGGCCAUCCAAAAUGUAGAUGAGUUUGUUUCUUCAUCAGAACAGAUCUGGAUAAAUGUAUUGUUAGCCGUCAGUAUUUCAGUAUUUCACACCCCUCCAGUCCAUCAGUUAAUGUCUUGUGAUGUGAAAAGAUGGGUUUGUUUCUUGUAAACACUCAGCAUUAAGGCAUUUUAAUUGUAAACGGUCACUUUUGGUCAAAAUACGAGUUAUUAAUCCAUAAUAACGCUUCCUCCAGUGAAAAAGUCCAUCCCCUGUUGUCCUCUCACAUCAAAAUUCACCAACAUAUUUGUUUUGAACUGUUUUGGACUGUUUUCUCUUGUAGAUGGUGCUUGAUCUGUGCAGAUUUCACUCCUGAUUCAGGACUCUUAACGAGAAGGAACGUUUAAAGUAAAAAAUGUUGUAAUGAUGGAUUUGUUUUCUUAUAAACACACAGCUUUUCGCUUCACAAGACAUUAACUGAUGGACUGGAGUGGUGUGGAUUAUUAUGAUGUUUUUAUCAGCUGUUUGAACUCUUAUUCUGACGGCACCCAUUCACUGCAGAGGAUCCAUUGGUGAGCAAGUGAAGGAAUGUUAAAUUUCUCCAGAUCUGAAACAAACUCAUCUGCAUCUGUCCUGAAGGUGAGUACAAAUUUUUGGCUAAACUAUUCCUUUAAAUAGAUCUUCAGUUUAAAUGAGAAGGAACGGCUAAGCCAGUGAAAUGUUUUUAACAACAUGUCGCUCAUUCUCACGUGCUUUGCAGCAGCAAGCUAUCAAUACUCUGAGUGCGGUGGAUACACCCUUUCACUGCACCGAAUCUAGAGGAAGGUCAUUUGUUUAUUUUCAGACUCAGAGAUUCAGGGCUUACAUGAAAGGCACUUUGUUUCAUGCAGCGGUGCACAUAAAAGCUCUGACUAAUAAUAGAUGAAAUUUUUGAUUGAUCUGAAAAGAUUGCAACUAAAUAAACUAAAUCAUUUUCUUGCUGUCUUCAUGGUGCCUUUAAAGUAAAGAUUGUUCUAUUUUUACAAGUACUGAUACUUAAUUAUGUAUCAUUGACAAUGCAUAAUAAUGGGUCAUUUUGUUUUAAUAAUUUUAAAAUUUAGCAAAGCAACUAAUACAGCAUUUUUAUUAAUUAAAGGAAAUGUUUCUUGAGCAGCAAAUCAGCAUAUUAGAAUGAUUUCUGAAGGAUCAUGUGACACUGAAGACUGGAGUAAUGAUGCUGAAAAUUCUGCUUUGUCAUCAUAGGAAUAAAUUACAUCUUAAAAUAUAUUGAAAUAGAAAAGUUAUUUUAAAUUGUAAUAGUAUUUUUUUCUAUAUUU
rnacentral:lncRNA from 12 species